GACGAACCGUGCGAACGUUAUUCGGAAUCACUGGGCUUAAAGGGCGCGUAGGCGGACUCGUUAGUCAGGGGUGAAAGCCCACGGCCCAACCGUGGAAGUGCCUUUGAUACUGCGAGUCUCGAGGGGGAUAGGGGCGUGCGGAACUGUAGGUGGAGCGGUGAAAUGCGUUGAUAUCUACAGGAACUCCGGUGGCGAAAGCGGCGUGCUGGAUCUCUUCUGACGCUGAGGCUCGAAAGCUAGGGGAGCAAACGGG
rnacentral:rRNA from 1 species